rnacentral:lncRNA from 1 species
UCGACAAGAGUAAAAGAAAAGAAAAACAAGACUAAAGAGGGAGAUCAGAGAAUUUCGGCAAUGUGCAAGGUGACACAUAAAAAAAAUCAGAAUUUGGAAUUGGGGAGAAAGAAAUUUUUUUUUCUAAAGUGAGAAAAAAAUCUAAACUAAGUUAGAUAACCCCCCCAAUCCAUCAAUCUGCUCCCAUACUCCCCCACUACAACUUAAACACCCCAAAACCGUCCACCACUCUCUCUCCCUAUCCAAAAUCCCUUAAUUUUCUCUCCUCACUUCCCACUACACCUUUACCACAUCGGUAUUUCAGUUCUACUCAAACUAUCCAUGACACC